UGAGUAUAUGUGUAUCGGAGCUUAAUCCGUCACGCUGAUCCACUGCGGGCUGACGGAUAACUAUUUUACCCAAUUUUACUUAAAAGAUCCCUCUUUUUACAGAUCCCACUCAGGAAAACCUUCAAGAAGUAUGUAAGAUUAUAGACGGCUUCGAGGAUGGUUUGCCGAGUAUAUUAAAAGGUGUUAAUGAAACAGCAGCCAAUUUAAAAGAAGAUGAAUCAAAGAAGCUUCUAGAAGAAUUAGACGAAUUAUCCAACUAUAUAAAUAUAUUGGCGUCGACCAAAAAGAGCGAUCUUGUAAGUUUUCUAGUAUUUUCUCGAAUUAUUUAUUGUAAAAUAUGGUAAUGAGAUAGAAAUGAAAUUUAUUUCCAAAAUC